rnacentral:tRNA from 1 species
CUGCGCGUAGCCUAGCGGAUUCGAGGCACUUGUUUUGGGAACAAGACGACGGGAGUUCAAAUCUCUCCGCGCAGACCA